ACAAAGAAAAGGCAAAAUACGCGAAAACGUAUUACGCAAAACCACCGGCCUACGGGAUUUUAUAAUAUUAUUUAUAGUAUUAUAAGGUCUACGGCAGCGGAGUCACCUCG
rfam:Colwellia sp. 39_35_sub15_T18 BD02T18sub15_scaffold_149, whole genome shotgun sequence.